rnacentral:lncRNA from 1 species
AUUGAGAGUUAAUUCAGAGGCUGUUGCUCAUGUGUUUUAUUGUAGUGUGGAAUAAAUCAAACUAGUGUUUGAAAGUCCUGGUCUUUAGCUUAGUGGAGUUAGUUCCUAUUUUUAUGUAAGUUUUUGUUUUAAAUAGACCUGCUAUGUACGUGACUGUUAUGUCACUUUCUCUAUCAUUCAAGUUCAAUAAGAAAAGCCUCUAAAGCUUUGGCAUGUUCUGUCCCCUGUUCACUGUUCAGAACCAAAACUACAUAAGUCUUUCCAGUUUUGCCCUUCUAAGUUUAGUCCCCUGUAAAGUUGCUUUCCUGUCCCUGUUGCUAUUUUGGUGUAAAUUCUCAAUUGUUCCGGCUAGAGUCCAACACUUGGUAUCAGAGCAUACCUGGGGUAUAUGCCAAAGUAUCAAUCUCGCGAGGAGAUGACAAAUAGCAGUAGCAGUGGCAACAAUGGAAAUGGUGAGAAAGAUGGACAAGUCACUCUCCAUUAUCUGAUGCUUUACCAGAUCGAAUUAUGGUGCAUGGGCGAUCAAAUGAGAGUUUUUAUGCUGGCACAAGGAGUAUGGGAUGCAGUUGAGCCCAGGACUGCAAAUACCAUUGUCGAAUCAAAGAGAGAUAACAUGGCAUUAGCAACCAUUUAUCAGGGGAUACCUGAAGACCUUCUAAUGGUGUUAGCAGAGAAGAAGACAGCGAAGGAAGCAUGGCAAGCCCUAAAAACAAUGUUUAUGGGAGCAGAUAGGGUAAAGGCUGCAAGAAUUCAGACAUUGAAAGCUGAAUUUGAGGCAUUAAGUAUGAAGGAAGUGGAAGGUGUUGAUGAAUUUACUGUGAAGGUAAUCAACACAGUUAGUACCCUGCGCACUCUUGGAGACACCAUAGAAGAGUCCUAUGUAGUGAAGAAACUGCUAAGGGUUGUUUCAUCUAAGUUUCUUCAAAUUGCCUCUACUUUGGAGCAAUUUGGUGAUUUAGAGACAAUGACAGUCGAAGAGGUUAUUGGAAGACUGAAAGCCCACGAAAAAAGGAUGAAAGGCCAUGGAGAGAGUGAUGAAAGGAAACUUCUCUUGACUCAUAAGGAAUGGUCAGAGAGGAAUAAGAAGAAAACAGAUGGGGAAACCAAGCAAAAGUCAAAUAGGGGCAAUGUUGGAAACUCACGUGGUCGAGGCAGGGGCAGAGGUAGGUCUGGUGGUCGUGGAGGUCGUGGUAGAGGGGGGUCAUAUCAUCAAAAGGAAGGGAAUCACCAAGCAUCUGGUAGUCAAGACAAGAGUGGGAUCCAAUGCUACAACUGCCAGGAGUUUGGACACUAUGCAGUUGAGUGUAAGAAUCCCAGAAGAGAAAGAAAUCAACAAAACAAUUUGAUACAAGACCAUCAUGACAAUGAACCUGCUUUGCUUCUAUCAACUUUCGAACAUGGUGAAGUAUUUCUCAAUGAAGAAAAUGUGACCCCACAGUUAAGAUCACAAGGUGACAUCUUCAGUCAGUCAAGUAUGUGGUAUCUUGACACAGGGGCUAGUAACCACAUGACUGGAGAUAAGGGCAAGUUUAGAAAUCUGAAUGAGUCAAUUCAAGGAUAUGUGAAGUUUGGGAAUGAAGCGAAAGUCCGUAUAGAAGGAAAGGGUUCAAUUGUCUUUCAAUCCAAGGAUGGGAGUCAACGCAAGCUUGAUGAGGUAUACUAUAUCCCAGACUUAUGCAGUCAUAUAAUAAGCCUGGGACAACUUGCAGAGGGAGGAGAUGAAAUAAGAAUUAAAGAUCCAUUUUUGUGGGUCCACGAUGUCACUGGGAAAUUACUAAUGAAGGUUAGAAGGUCCUCAAAUAGAUUCUAUAAAAUAGAGUUGGAAGAAGUCAAAGGAACAUGCUUGAUAGCAAAAUCAAAUGACCCAUCGUGGUUAUGGCACAUGAGAAUGGGUCAUAUUAACUUCAACUCAAUGAAGUAUAUGCAGGAGAAGAAAUUAAUAGAAGGAAUGCCUAAGAUGUCCAUUCCAUCACAGCCAUGCGAAGGGUGCUUAGUAGGAAAGCAAGUAAGAAAACCAUUUCCUUCACACUCUAAUUAUACAGCAAAGAAAAGGCUGGAGCUAGUUCAUGGUGAUAUUUGUGGCCUUGUUUCACCUCCUACACCCUCAGGGAACCGUUACUUCAUGCUACUUGUUGAUGAAUUUAGCAGAGUAAUGUGGGUUUAUUUGCUAAAGUCAAAAGAUGAGGCAUUUGAAGUCUUUAAGAACUUCAUAAGGAGAGUAGAAGUAGAGACUGGGGAGAAGUUGAAGAUGUUUAGAACAGACCGUGGGGGUCAGUUCUUGUCAAAUGAAUUCACCCAAUACUGCAAUGAAACGGGUUUGGAAAGACAUUAUACAACACCAUUCUCCCCACAGCAAAAUGGUGUGGUGGAGAGACGGAACCGAACAGUGCUCGAAAUGGUUAGAUGUAAUCUGAAGACCAUGAAGAUGCCGGAUGUUCUGUGGGGGGAAGCUGUAACUCACUCAGUAUAUGUUCUGAAUAGGGCACAUACGAAAGCUUUAAGUGAUACAACUCCCUACGAGAGGUGGACUGGAAGAAAACCGAACGUGGAACACCUUAGGGUGUUUGGUUGUAUAGCUCACAUGAGAAUUACACAAAGAAUCAUCUGAAGAAGCUAGACGAGAGGAACAUACGACUGGUUCAUCUGGGAAUUGAAAAGGGAACAAAGGCGUAUAGGUUGCUGGACCCAGAUACCGGGAAGAUAUACGUGAGUAGAGAUGUAGUAUUUCGAUGAACAGCAAGGUUGGGUGUGGGAGAAGUGUGUGAAAAUUAAAGUGGUACCAGGUAUAAGUUUCACUGUUGAAGGUUUUAACCUAGACGAGGCUUAUGAUGAUGAAGUCGACUGGGAUCCGGAUACCUCACAACAAGAAAUUGGGUCUCCUCUAAAUAAUGAUGAGUGGGCUGAAGACUCCCAGCCCAUUAAUUCUGAAGUCAACUCUCAGUCAAGCCCAUUUAUUGAUACAUCAGGUACGCCAAAUUCACCUGGUACACCAAAUACUCCAAUUCCGAUAGCAACUCCCAGCACCGCCUCAAGCUCCACAGGCGGUGGAGCCCCGAAGCGCUAUCGAAUGCUCACCGAGUUGUACGAGAACACCGACGAAAUCAACCUACCCCCAGAAGAAUUGUUGAUGAUCCGCAAUGAUGGAGAACCAACAUCAUACAUAGAGGCGAGUAAGAGUAGCGAGUGGGUAGCUGCUAUGGAUUCCGAAUUGGCAUCAAUUGAAAAAAACAACACCUGGAAGUUAGUCUAUCUUCCAAAGAAUCGAAAACCCAUAGGUUUAAAAUGGGUGUACAAGUUGAAGCGAGAUCCAACUGGGAAGAUCAUAAAGCACAAAGUGAGGAUUGUGGCAAAGGGGUACGUCCAAAAACACGGAAUCGACUAUGACGAGGUUUUCGCUUCGGUGGCCAGAAUUGAAACGGUACGCCUCAUUCUAGCUUUAGCAGGAACUAAUGGAUGGUGGGUGCACCAUCUUGAUGUGAAAUCAGCAUUCCUUAAUGGCGAAUUAGAACAAGAAGUAUACGUCUCACAAAUUGAAGGUUACCAGAAAGAAGGAGAGACGAACAAGGUGUACAAACUGACUAAGGCUCUGUAUGGCUUAAAGCAAGCCCCGGGGGCCUGGAAUGCGUGUUUGGAUCGAUACCUAAAACAAUUGGGUUUUGCUUGCUGUGCUCAUGAAUAUUCAGUAUACACCAAGAAGCACAAUGGUGACAUACUGAUUGUUGGGGUAUAUGUAGAUGACCUACUUGUAACUGGUAGCUGUCACAAGCAAGUUCAAGAUUUCAAAAGCAAGAUGAAUACCAAGUUUGAGAUGAGUGAUCUUGGUCUCUUAUCAUAUUACUUGGGCAUUGAAGUAAGUCAACAGGAUGGUGUGAUUACACUAAAGCAAGAAUCCUAUGCUAAGAAUUUACUCAUCAAGACCCGGAUGUUAGAUUGUAACCCCACCAAGAGCCCAAUGGAACAUAAGCUAAAGCUUCGCAGGGAUGAAGAAGGAGAGUUGGUGAAUCCCACUGAAUACAGGAGCAUCGUUGAAGGACUCAGGUAUCUGACCCAUACCCGUCCAGAUAUACUGUUUGCAGUUGGAGUAGUAAGCCGCUACAUGGAAAGGCCAACUACAAAACACCUUCAAGCUGUUAAGGGAAUACUCAGGUAUGUGAAAGGCACCCUUGACUAUGGUCUGAAGUACUCAAGAGGAAGAAAAGAAGUUGUGAUUGUUGGAUACACUGACAGUGAUCUAGGGAAUGAUGUGAAUGAUAGGAGAAGUACAGGUGGAAUGGCUUUUUAUGUGAAUGGAAAUUUGAUUACAUGGGCCUCACAAAAUCAUAGAUGUGUUGCCUUAUCCUCCUGUGAAGCAGAGUUUAUGGGUGUUCUAACCUAUAAGUCCUAUUGGGUGUUCUAACCUAUAAGUCCUAUUGGGUGUUCUUACAAGAUCAUCGCGAAGACUCUUGCUUCAAGGCUUAAAAGGGUGGUGGAUUAGGUAAUUGAUGAAGUCCAAACUCCUUUCAUUGCGGUUCGGAACAUUCUUGAUGGUCCUCUGGUUGUUAAUGAGGUUUUUGCAUGGGCGAAGAAAUCCAAACACUAGCUCUUUCUCCUCAAAAUUUAUUUUGAUAAGGCUAUUGAUUCCAUAAGUUGAAAUUAUUUGGAUUCGGUGAUGAUGCAAAUGGGUUUCGGGGAAAAAUGAAGAUUUUGGAUUCGUUGUUGUCUUUCCUCGGCUAGGGCCUCGGUUCUUCUUAACGACUCGGCUACAAAAAAAUUUCAAUUUACGCGUGGGGUGCGCCAAAGGGACGCUCUCUCCCUGUUUCUCUUCAUCAUCGUCAUGGAAGAACUUCACGUGGCUAUAAAGUCCACGGCUCACUUAUGUAUUUUUAGUGGGAUAAAAUUGCCUAAUAAGGGCCCGACAUUCUCCCACCUCUUUUUAUGCCGAUGACACUCUUUUUUUGGGAGAGUGGUCUAGCUUGAAUUUUACCAACCUUUCCCGAAUUCUUAAGUGCUUUCGUGUGGCUUCAAGACUUAAAGUGAAUUUUCAUAAAUCCAAGGUAUAUGGCAUUAGAGUUUCUAAUGAUGAAGUUUCCAAUUGUGCUCGUAUCUUGAGGUGUGAUGCCGCCUCAUUUCUGUUUACUUAUUUGGGGGUUACCGUUGGUGCUAACAUGUCGCUUAAACAAAAUUGGGGUGCGGUUAUGGAAACGGUGGAUAAAAAACUCACUUCUUGGGGUAUAUGUAGAUGACCUACUUGUAACUGGUAGCUGUCACAAGCAAGUUCAAGAUUUCAAAAGCGAGAUGAAUACCAAGUUUGAGAUGAGUGAUCUUGGUCUCUUAUCAUAUUACUUGGGCAUUGAAGUAAGUCAACAGGAUGGUGUGAUUACACUAAAGCAAGAAGCCUAUGCUAAGAAUUUACUCAUCAAGACCCGGAUGUUAGAUUGUAACCCCACCAAGAGCCCAAUGGAACACAAGCUAAAGCUUCGCAGGGAUGAAGAAGGAGAGUUGGUGAAUCCCACUGAAUACAUGAGCAUCGUUGAAGGACUCAGGUAUCUGACCCAUACCCGUCCGGAUAUAUCGUUUGCAGUUGGAGUAGUAAGCCGCUACAUGGAAAGGCCAACUACAAAACACCUUCAAGCUGUUAAGGGAAUACUCAGGUAUGUGAAAGGCACCCUUGACUAUGGUCUGAAGUACUCAAGAGGAAGAAAAGAAGUUGUGAUUGUUGGAUACACUGACAGUGAUCUAGGGAAUGAUGUGAAUGAUAGGAGAAGUACAGGUGGAAUGGCUUUUUAUGUGAAUGGAAAUUUGAUUACAUGGGCCUCACAAAAACAUAGAUGUGUUGCCUUAUCCUCCUGUGAAGCAGAGUUUAUGGCAGCCACUCUAGCAGCUUGCCAAGGAAUAUGGCUUAGAAGACUCCUCAGGGAAAUAACAGGGCAAACUGUGCCACCUGUAACUCUGCUGGUUGAUAAUCGUUCAUCACUUGACCUCAUGAAGAAUCCAGUCUUUCAUGGAAGGAGCAAGCACAUAGAUAUAANGAAUGCAUAGAAAAUGGGGACAUAACAGUGAGUCAUGUAAGCAGCAAAGAGCAGAAGGCUGACAUACUCACCAAGACACUAGGAAGAAUUAAACAUGAAGAAAUGUGGAAUCUUAUUGGAGUCAAGAAGUUUUAAGCCUCUGAAUUAAGGGGGAAAGUAUUGAGAGUUAAUCCAGAGGCUGGUGCUCACGUGUUUUAUUGUAGUGUGGAAUAAAUCAAACUAGUGUUUGAAAGUCUUGGUCUUUAGCUUAGUGGAGUUAGUUCCUAUUUUUAUGUAAGUUUUUGUUUUAAAUAGACCUGCUAUGUACGUGACUGUUAUGUCACUUUCUCUGUCAUUCAAGUUCAAUAAGAAAAGCCUCUAAAGCUUUGGCAUGUUCUGUCCCCUAUUCAGAUUACCAAAACUACAUAAGUCUUUCCAGUUUUGCCCUUCUAAGUUUAGUCCCCUGUAAAGUUGCUUUCCCGUCCCUGUUGCUAUUUUGGUGUAAAUUCUCAAUUGUUCCGGCUAGAGUCCAACACGGCAAACGUAGAAAAUCUUACCUCCUUCUAUGUGUCUAACCUUCGAGGUGAGGCAUUCAAAAAGGAGAUUUGGAAAUCUUGUGCUUUGUUGGGAAAUCUUUCAUAUAUCUACAUU